ACUAACCAACCACGAAAAGCGACCCUAACUGGAGCCCCAAACAACGUGAUUCUGGCAUAAGUGUCUUCGGUUGGGGCGACCACGGGAGAUAGCACAGCUCCCGAGUGGAUGGGGGACACCCUAAAACCCAGAGCCACAGCUCUAAGUCACAAAACAUUUGACCAAUAAUGAUCCGGCUUAAUGCCGACCAACG
rnacentral:rRNA from 1 species